rnacentral:rRNA from 1 species
UACAGAGGUGGCAAGCGUUGUUCGGAAUUACUGGGCGUAAAGCGUGCGCAGACGGUUGCGUAAGUCAGAUGUGAAAGCCCCGGGCUCAACCUGGGAAUUGCAUUUGAGACUGCGUAGCUAGGGUGCGGAAGAGGGAAGCGGAAUUUCCGGUGUAGCGGUGAAAUGCGUAGAUAUCGGAAGGAACACCAGUGGCGAAAGCGGCUUCCUGGUCCAGCACCGACGUCAGGCACGAAAGCGUGGGGAGCAAACAGG